AUUGAACGCUGGCGGAAUGCUUUACACAUGCAAGUCGAACGGCAGCACGGGGGCAACCCUGGUGGCGAGUGGCGAACGGGUGAGUAAUACAUCGGAACGUGCCCAGUCGUGGGGGAUAACUACGCGAAAGCGUAGCUAAUACCGCAUACGAUCUACGGAUGAAAGCGGGGGAUCGCAAGACCUCGCGCGAUUGGAGCGGCCGAUGGCAGAUUAGGUAGUUGGUGGGGUAAAGGCCUACCAAGCCAUCGAUCUGUAGCUGGUCUGAGAGGACGACCAGCCACACUGGGACUGAGACACGGCCCAGACUCCUACGGGAGGCAGCAGUGGGGAAUUUUGGACAAUGGGCGCAAGCCUGAUCCAGCCAUUCCGCGUGCAGGAUGAAGGCCUUCGGGUUGUAAACUGCUUUUGUACGGAACGAAAAGGCUCUCUCUAAUACAGGGGGCUCAUGACGGUACCGUAAGAAUAAGCACCGGCUAACUACGUGCCAGCAGCCGCCGUAACAC
rnacentral:rRNA from 1 species